rnacentral:rRNA from 1 species
UACGUAGGGAGCAAGCGUUGUUCGGAUUUACUGGGCGUAAAGGGCGCGUAGGCGGCGCGGUAAGUCACUUGUGAAAUCUCUGAGCUUAACUCAGAACGGCCAAGUGAUACUGCAGUGCUAGAGUGCAGAAGGGGCAAUCGGAAUUCUCGGUGUAGAGGUGAAAUGCGUAGAUAUCGGGAGGAACACCAGUGGCGAAGGCGACUACCUGGCCUGUUUCUUGACGCUGAGGCGCGAAAGCUAGGGGAGCAAACGGG